UACGAAGGGGGCUAGCGUUGUUCGGAAUUACUGGGCGUAAAGCGCGCGCAGGCGGUCCUUUAAGUCGGGGGUGAAAGCCCAGAGCUCAACUCUGGAACUGCCUUCGAAACUAGAGGACUUGGGUACGGGAGAGGUGAGUGGAAUUCCGAGUGUAGAGGUGAAAUUCGUAGAUAUUCGGAAGAACACCAGUGGCGAAGGCGGCUCACUGGCCCGUUACCCGAGCUCAGGCGCGACAGCGUGGGGAGCAAACAGG
rnacentral:rRNA from 1 species